AAAUUUAAAUAAUAAACUAGGAUUAGAUACCCUAUUAUUUUAAAUGUUAAUUAUAUUUACCAGGGUACUAUUAGUUAAGGUCUUUAAACCCAAAGAAUUUGGCGGUAUCUCAUUCCAUUCAGAGGAACCUACCCCGUGAUUGAUAAUACACGAUUUACUCUACUUAAUUUAUUUGUUUGUAUAUCUCCGUUAUCAGAGAAUCUUUUUAGAGUUAUAAUUCUCAAGAUUUAUAAUUAUAAAAUAUUUCAGGUCAAGGUGCAGCUUAUAGUUAAGAGGAGGUGGGUUACAAUAGGUUUUUGUUUAUAACGGAUUUGAUGGUGAAAUAUUAUUAAUGAAGGUGGAUUUGAUAGUAAUUUAAUUUAUUUAAUUUAACUGAUAUUGGCUCUGAGGUGUGUACACAUCGCCCGUCGCUCUCAUUAUUGAUUAUUCUAUUUUAUUAUUUUAAGGUAGCUUCAAUUAUAGAUGAGAUAAGUCGUAACAUAGUAGAUGUACUGGAAAGUGUAUCUAGUAAGAUUUU
rnacentral:rRNA from 1 species